CACUUCCUUAAGAAGGGACAAUCUAUAUAUACAUUUGGAAUUCCUCAAUAUGGAAGAUAUGUCUGCUAUUUAUUUAUUCAUUCAUUCAUUCAUUUAUGUCAGUAUAAAUUCAUGGGUGAAUAUUUUAUGCUUUGGGUUAUAAUCCAAUACUACAUUGUGUGUGUGUGUGUGUAUAUGUGUGUGUGUGUGUAGCUUUCUAUGUCUAGAGAUAUGUCUAUAUCUAUAUCUUGCUAAAUAGUUCUAGCUUUAGUCAUUGGAAGCUCUUUCAGUUAGUUCCUGUAUCCUAUAAUAUUCCUUUGUAAGCUCUUUCCUACAUUCAGGCACGAAUAGAUGUUUCAGGCUCAUCUGGUAUUUUUCCUGUUUAGUCCUUGAAUUAGUCAUUUUUCUGACUAGACCUGGUUCCCUGUCUUGGAGAAUGUUAUUAGAAACCAAGACCUGAGUGCUGGCAACUAUGUCAUUUUAUAGAUUAAACAAAUGAAGCUCAAGCAAGUGAGGGAACUGUUGAAUGUCCAAAGGUGUCUAGUAGCAAAGCUAACCUGGAAUAUGAGAAUCUUGAUAACUGGGUUUUUAAUCUUUUCAUUAUACCACUCUGCCUUUCCUGUCACAUUCCAGGACAUACAGCUUUUAUGAGCAUAUAAAUGAGAAAACGUGCCCAUGCCCUUUGUUCCUAGAGUCUAGAUAUUUGGAGUUUCAUGCAGUUACAGCAUUUAUAUUAAUGCAGGACUUUGAAGCCUUACCAUGAAAUAGAUGAAAGUAAGAGAAAUAGACUUAUCUUAAUAAUGACAAAGAAAACUAUGAAGGCCAUUUCCUCCAGCAGGACAAGGUUUGGGUUAUACAAAAAAUACCAGUUGUGUCCUUUUAUGCUCAGAAAAUCUGCUGUGUAACUUGUUUCUGUGCAGGGCUUAUCACUUCCAAGGUCUUUAUUAGUUUAUCACAUCCCUUUUAGAUGUAUAUCUCUAAAGCCACUUAGACCCCAGCCUGGACACCUGAAUGCACAUCUGUAAAGGUGAAAAAUGACUCUUAAAGUUGGAAAUUGUGAAAACCAUUGUA
rnacentral:lncRNA from 1 species